UACGAAGGGGGCUAGCGUUGUCCGGAAUUACUGGGCGUAAAGAGCUCGUAGGUGGUUUGUCGCGUUGUCCGUGAAAACUCACAGCUCAACUGUGGGCGUGCGGGCGAUACGGGCAGACUGGAGUACUGCAGGGGAGACUGGAAUUCCUGGUGUAGCGGUGGAAUGCGCAGAUAUCAGGAGGAACACCGGUGGCGAAGGCGGGUCUCUGGGCAGUAACUGACGCUGAGGAGCGAAAGCGUGGGGAGCGAACAGG
rnacentral:rRNA from 1 species